AUCAGCCUAAAGUUCUCACCUGGGUUCCUACUGAAGCUAAGCAGGGUUGAGUCUGGUCAGUACCUGGAUGGGAGACUCCUGGGGAGAACUAAGGUUGCUGCUG
rnacentral:rRNA from 1 species